rnacentral:rRNA from 1 species
AGUGAACGCUGGCAGUAGGCCUAACACAUGCAAGUCGAACGGCAGCACAGUAAGAGCUUGCUCUUACGGGUGGCGAGUGGCGGACGGGUGAGGAAUACAUCGGAAUCUACUUUUUCGUGGGGGAUAACGUAGGGAAACUUACGCUAAUACCGCAUACGACCUACGGGUGAAAGCAGGGGAUCUUCGGACCUUGCGCGAUUGAAUGAGCCGAUGUCGGAUUAGCUAGUUGGCGGGGUAAAGGCCCACCAAGGCGACGAUCCGUAGCUGGUCUGAGAGGAUGACCAGCCACAGGGGAACAGAGACCCGUCCCAGACUCCUCCGGGGGGCAGGAGUGGGGAAUAUUGAACAAGGGGCGCAAGCCUGAUCCACCCAUACCGGGUGGAUGAAGAAGGCCUGCGGGUUGUAAACCCCUUUUUUGGGAAAAAAAAAGCAGGAGGUUAAACCCCGGCUUUCAUGAGGAUACCAAAAAAAAAGCCCCGGGCAAGCUUGGGG